UCAGUGGAGUGGAGACCGGCGAUGUAGCGGACGUGCGGCUAAUCGGUCCCGCGUCGACGCAUUUUUUCGCUGUAAGUACAGUCGCAGAAAGCUCGACUUCGACACACGCGUGACAAGGAUUCGCCACAAUAAGCGUAUUUCACGAGAGAUGGGUAAAUUCGCGAAAAUCUGUCGCGCGCAUUACGCAGCAAUUCGUCCAACGAGCCGGCGGCGGCGCGGCGACAUGGCGGCGGCGCAACGGCUACUCGCUACGCAUUUCGGGUAAGCGGCCGGCCGGCACGGACUGCGCAGCGCGUGCUCCGGUCUCGUCGUGUGUAUCUGGACACAUACAGUUCGAAUCACAGUUCGCCUGUGCAGCGUGGAACGAAAUGAGUUGUGUACGAUCGUUUCGAGACGAGUGUUUGUUGACUUUACCGUGUGACGGGCGACGCGAGUGAAGGAAUGUUUCGCACGACUCGUACGUCUCACCCUUCGCGGACCAUCGUCAAUGUUGAGUGGAUUUGCCUCGUAUGUAUGUACAUAAAUCUGGGUUCUAGUCUGUAACAAUGGAUGCGUUUACUUUGGACGCUCACGCGCUGUAAACAUCAUUUCAUCCUUGUUUAUGAUUAUUAAACGAGGACAGAUAAUGUUUACAAGCGUUGUGAGCCCGAAAAUGAACGCAGCCAAUAUAUACAGUGAAAUGCUCCGACGGAACGGCGAUCUACUUUUUCUUUUUCUCUCUCUUUCGUGCGUGUGGCGUGAAUUUGGCGAGCCUCUCUCGCUGCGAUUCUCUCUCGUCGUUAACUUCAUGCUGUUCGUACGCGUACUCCUUCGCGUGACAUCAUCGUCGACAUCAUCGUGACAUCAUGUCGCGAGUGGAAUUUUCUUUGCAUAUAUAUUCGAAUUUUCGUGAGUAAUCUGCAAUAAGAUAAACGUUAGAACGAGACAGUGAGAUCGCUUGGAGACGCGCUUGUUACAGGACAACGUAAGAGAAAGUCGAGAUUAAUUUACCCCGCGAGAAUUACCACUAGCUCCGUCCAGCAAAUGCAUCGUCUGUUUUCAUCGAUGUUGAGCGAAUUCUGUACAUACGUGUAGCUACAAGUAAUGCGAUUUAAUAAAGCCCGCUUCGAUUAACGUCAAGCGUUCCGUCAAUAAAGCGUCGCGCGUUGCUGAGAGAAUUAGUGCGCGAUCGUAAUUAAUCUCUCUUUUGCGAGUGUUGUGUAUUUAUCAAAUCUGAGAGGAGGCGGAGGCUCGGGGGAAGCAUCGGGCAACGGCGGAACAACUCUGUGGAUGAAUGUAGCUGUGUUACAACUCCGCUGCUGCGCGACGGUCCGGUGAGUCAUAAAAUUUCCUUAAUUUUAAAAUAAUAAAUUUGUUAAAGUUUAUUACAUAAGAUAAAGGAGGAAAACUCUUAGAAAAAAAAAUCUCUUAAUCGUAUUAUUUAUUCUGCAAACCGUAUUACGAAAAUAGCAAUAAUUCUUUUAUUGUGAUAGUUAUAUGAGGACAUUCUAAUCAAAUGUUAUUUUAUAAUAUUACCACAAGAACUACGCUUGUGAGAACUGAACAGAUGGACAUAUCUUAACAUUUGUAUUCAGCGUAGUUCACUGUAACUUAAAUUUUCAUAAUAUUUCUUGUUGAAACAUAAAGAAUAUUAUUUUAAAAAA